rnacentral:lncRNA from 1 species
CCCAUGCAUAAAUUAAAGAAAGGAAUAAAAUGCCUGCUUUCGCACGGGGCUCUGGGCUUCCACUGGAAGCAAAAGGGGCUCCUGAGCGGGUGGCAGGCUGGGCGUCCCUCCCCGAAGACGCGAGCCUCGGCUCGGCGGCCCGGGCCCUUUCCGCCUCCUCCACAACGGCUGGGCAAAGCUCUCCGCGCAAGGCUCCCUCCUGCGACCGGUCCCGCCCCGGGUUAUCAAGUGCCGAAAAGCCGGCGGCAGAAAAGGCGGGAGAGGCGACUGUCAAAGCCGGGAUGGCAGGUGUGGGAGCCAAAGACCCGCCGCGGGGCCAACAAGGCAAGCCGCCCCCGAGCCCGGCACCGCAAGCGGCUGACCAACCCAGCCCCUCUCAAGAGCCGGAGCAGUCGCUGGGACGGUCGGUCGAAGGGAAAGUCGUCUUUGCACUGUGAGUUCAUGAAAUACUUUCUUAAAGAUGAACGCUCAAAAGAAAGUGUCUACAGGCAUUGGUGAUAAGGCUGGCCUACAAUUUUAUCUGACAGCUCCAUAUUCUGUUGUUCCUUCCAGCCCUGACUGGACCAGUCUGAUUAUAGUGAAGAACAGGAGAAGCUGCAUCAGCAACUUAUAAUUGAUGAAUUGUUCUUUGUUUGAGUGGAAUUUGUUAUUGUUAUCCAGCUAUAAAAUUCAUAAAUGCAAACACACACAAACACACACAUUUAGACCAAGGAAGUUGUACUUUUAAACAUCUUUUGUUAUUCAUCACAUUUCUCUUUGCCCAUGGUGCUCUUUUCAAUAUUCUCGGUAAUGGGGAUUUAUUCUGACACAAAUUUGCGUCUCCCUUAUUGUUUUGCAUCAGGGAUGCCUUUUCAAAUUACAAUUUCUUUGAAACCUCUGCCUGCCUUAUAACAGGAUUCUCACAUUCCACAAAAAUGUAAAGUAGUUUAUUUGGAUUUACCAUUUUGUGGACUCAAAAGAAAUAUGAAUAUGAUAAAACAUACGGAGCUAAUAUGAGAAGUGUGGUGAAACAAACCUAGGCUUAAUGCGACUAGGAUAGUGACUGGCUCAUGCUGAAGUUAUCAAAUGAUGGUGGUUUGGAUUAAUGCAACAUAUGAAGCCACAGCUAUAAUAUCUGGGUCACAAUGCUGCCCUAAGUAGUGUUUUAGUUUAGUACAGUACUUCAAAUAAGUUAUACCAAACUAUUGCACUCUACCGUGGUUUGCUGAAAAAAAUUGGUUGGAUUCACACAGUAUCCAGCCAUGGUUGAGCCCAAAAUUUCUGUGGCUAAAUAAGACUGUUACGUGUGUCUUAGCCCACUUUAUGACCAUUUGUUCCAGGGUUGUUAAAUGAAUUACUCCAGUUAUUCAGUUGAUAACACAAUUGUUGAGUGAAUCUGGCUUCCCCAUUGACUUUGUUUGUCAGAAAGUUGCAGAAUGUGAUCAUGUGACCCUGGGCUCUGCAAUCGUCAUAAAUAUGAACCAGUUACUAAGCGUCUGGAUUUUGAUCACGUGACCAGAGGGAUACUGCAAUGGUUGUAAAUGCAAAAAAUGGUCAUAAGUCAGUGCCAUUGCAACUUCAAAUGAUCACUAAACAAACUGUUGUAACUUGAGUACUAUCUGUAUUUGUCUGGACUCAUCCAAUAUGAUUUGUAUAACACAAUAAAUGAGUUUCACACAACUUCUCAAGCUACAAACAAG